UACGUAGGUGGCAAGCGUUGUCUGGAAUUACUGGGCGUAAAGGAUGCGUAGGCGGAUAUUUAAGUGAGAUGUGAAAUUCCCGGGCUUAACUUGGGAGCUGCAUUUCAAACUGGAUAUCUAGAGUGCGGGAGAGGAGAAUGGAAUUCCUAGUGUAGCGGUGAAAUGCGUAGAGAUUAGGAAGAACACCAGUGGCGAAGGCGAUUCUCUGGACCGUAACUGACGCUGAGGCAUGAAAGCGUGGGUAGCAAACAGG
rnacentral:rRNA from 1 species